rnacentral:misc_RNA from 1 species
CCUAAGAGAUACGUGUUAUGUGCAGUGCUCACACAGAUUGUCUGAUGAAGAACGAGCAAAAGCGCGUCUGCGAAGCUGACUGAAGUCCCCUUCGUCUAGAGGCCUAGGACACCGCCCUUUCACGGUGGUAACAGGGGUUCGAAUCCCCUAGGGGACGCCAAUUGCGCGGUAUGAGUGAAAGGCGUACCACACUAUAGUCUGAUGCAAAUCAGGGAAUAGUUAAGAUAAUUCGAUGAGUUAUUUUACCUAUUAUGCUCUUUAACAAUCUGGAACAAGCUGAAAAAUUGAAAACAAAUCAAUAUAUCACCGAGGUAUAUUGAUGAGUCUCUCAAAACCUCAAAUCUUGAAGUUUGUCACUCAAAGACGAACGUCAUGAGCGAGCAACAGCAAUUCUAGGCGGACAGCACGCAGUAAGCGCAGCAUACUUAAGUAUGUGAGCAUUACGAGUACUGCCCAACAACGAAUUGAUGCUUGUGUAGCUAUGACCUUAAAUAUCCUCUUUGAAGAAACACCUUCGGGUUGUGA